AGAGUUCGAUCAUGGCUCAGGACGAACGCUGGCGGCGCGCCUAACACAUGCAAGUCGAACGAGCGAGAGAGAGCUUGCUUUCUCAAGCGAGUGGCGAACGGGUGAGUAACGCGUAACCAACCUGCCCUUCAGAGGGGGAUAACAACGGGAAACCGUUGCUAAUACCGCGUGCGAAUGAACUUCGGCAUCGAAGCUCAUUGAAAGGUGGCCUCUAUUUAUAAGCUAUCGCUGAAGGAGGGGGUUGCGUCUGAUUAGCUAGUUGGAGGGGUAACGGCCCACCAAGGCAAUGAUCAGUAGCCGGUCUGAGAGGAUGAACGGCCACAUUGGGACUGAGACACGGCCCAA
rnacentral:rRNA from 1 species